rnacentral:sRNA from 1 species
CAAAAACCCAAAAAAAAA